rnacentral:sRNA from 1 species
GCCAGGCAUGGUGGUGCAUGCCUGUAAUCCCACCAGUUUGGGAGGCUGAGGCAGGAGCAUCAAGAGUUCAAAGAUAGCCUCAACAACUUAGUGAGGCCCUAAGCAACUCAGCAAGACCCUGUCUCAA